AGCAGCCGCGGUAAUUCCAGCUCCAAUAGCGUAUAUUAGUGUUGUUGCGGUUAAAAAGCUCGUAGUUGAAUUUCGGGAUUGGGAUAUAUCGGUCGUGCCUUUAGGGGCAUGAAUCAGUGUGUGGCCAAUUCUCACCUUCUGGUGAAUUGGGAUGCUUUCGGGUGUUUCAAUGAACUAGGACUUUUACUUUGAAAAAAUUAGAGUGUUUAAAGCAGGCAUUUUUGCUUGAAUACGUUAGCAUGGAAUAAUAAAAUAGGACGAUGGUUCUAUUUUGUUGGUUUUAGGACCACGUAAUGAUUAAUAGGGAUAGUUGGGGGCAAUUAGUAUUCAAUUGUCAGAGGUGAAAUUCUUGGAUUUAUUGAGGACUAACUACUGCGAAAGCAUUUGCCAAGGAUGUUUUCAUUAAUCAAGAACGAAAGUUAGGGGAUCAAAGACGAUUUACGUACGUCGUAGUCCUAACCAUAAACUAUGCCGACUAGGAAUCAGACAAAGUUAAUUUUUUAACGACUUGUUUGGUACCUUACG
rnacentral:rRNA from 1 species